rnacentral:lncRNA from 1 species
UGAAAGCUUCUUUUUUGAAAAUAAGGCACAUGUCAUCAAAUAAAGAACUAUUUUCAUCCAAAAUAUUCAUUUCAUUCAUACAAUACCAUUUACAAAUAACUCAAACAAAAAUUACAAAAAACUUGAUUUUGACCUACAUUUGACUUUGGUCAACUAUUGACUUUUUGGUCAACCAAUUGACCAAAGUCAACUAAUCUAAACCUAAUCCUAAAUGUUCACUUUGUUUCUUCAUUUGUCCAUCUUUCCUUGUGGCUUCAAUCCCGAGCUUUCUUUAUCUAUAAGUAACCAUGUUACUUCAAGUCAUUCAUGGUGGUUUCAUUUCAAGCAACCUUGAGAUCAUGGAAAAACUCCAAGCAUAGAGCAAGCCCUGCAUCAAACAAACCAAUCACAAUUCCUAAGCAUGGCAGUUCAUUUACCUACCUGUUCAAUUUUAUCAAACAAGCCAGCAUAGCCACACUAACACAAGCAACAAUUCAAACAGAAAUAAUUCUCACUAAUAGUACAAGUUUAGAAUCAGCAUCCUAUUCACUUGUUUUUGCACCAGAUCAUCCAUUGAAGGCAUUGUAACAACAAUAUUGUACAUUAAUUGAUGCCUUAAUACUAACUAUCCAUUUCAAUCAUUCAAACUACUAAUCAACAAUUUUUUGAACAUUCCAAAUCUUCCAUCUAAUUCAUGCUAAUGAUUUCAAUUGGCACUAGCAUAUCAGUUUAGCAUUUCAACACAAUUCACUUUAUAACAAGCUCAAUUUCGAAUCCACACUUUGCGUAACAUCUAUAUAGUACCAUAAUAGCUAACAACAUAACAGUCUUAACAAGAAUUUUAACAAAGUCAUCACCAUUCAAAAAAAUUCAGUAAUCUAACUGAUAACUAAGUUUGUGAAACAGAAAUUCUAACUAACAAGUUUAAUAGAAGUUUUCCUGUAACUGACUAUUCUUUUCAAAAUUAACUAACAGCAAUACAUUCAUUUUAACUUUGAUAUAACCAACUAACAUCUCUAAGAGAUCGUAUAACUAACUUCACAAUCUAACUAUCUGUAUCAUUAACAAACUAACAGAUUCACAACUAAUUUGCACGAUUUUCAACAAUUAACGGUGUCAUCACUCAUAACCGAAUUGCGACUCAUAUUAACAGAGUUAAACCCUGUUAAUCUUCAACCCCUAUAAAUUCAUCACAUCACCAUUUCAUGACUUAACCAAUCACUUUUUCCAGAAAAUCAUCACAAUCACAAAUCAGUUUCAGAGAAUACUUUCAAUCUCAGAGAUUCACACUCUCCACAAUCUCUCUCAUUCACAUUCGAACUCUCUCAAUUCUCUCUCCCUACUACAAUUCAUCAUAACUCACGCAAAGCAAAACAAGUAGAAUCACAGAAACACAGAACUCGGAAGAACACUCACGCAGUGAGACGAAGGGAAUGGUGAAAGAUUUGUUGUGUUUGACCCUCCUCCUCCGCCGGUGACGAAUUCCGACGUGGCGGAGGUGGUUGGAACUCAGGUGAGGAGAGCUUGAGAUGAACGUAGUGAAAAUGAAAACAUGAACAUGUGAGCAUGAUCUGAACGCGCAGACCCCUUCCUUGACUUUGGUUUGGAUCCGGUUGGGCCUUAGGCCCAAUGUUUUUUCUUA